rnacentral:rRNA from 1 species
GACGAACGCUGGCGGCGUGCUUAACACAUGCAAGUCGAACGGAAAGGCCCUGCUUUUGUGGGGUGCUCGAGUGGCGAACGGGUGAGUAACACGUGAGUAACCUGCCCUUGACUUUGGGAUAACUUCAGGAAACUGGGGCUAAUACCGGAUAGGAUCUCCUGCUGCAUGGUGGGGGUUGGAAAGUUUCGGCGGUUGGGGAUGGACUCGCGGCUUAUCAGCUUGUUGGUGAGGUAGUGGCUUACCAAGGCUUUGACGGGUAGCCGGCCUGAGAGGGGGGACGGGCACAAUUGGAAUUAGGGACGGACCAGACUCCUACGGGAGGCAGCAGUGGGGAAUAUUGCACAAUGGGCGGAAGCCUGAUGCAGCAACGCCGCGUGCGGGAUGACGGCCUUCGGGUUGUAAACCGCUUUCGCCGGUGACGAAGCGUGAGUGACGGUAAUGGGUAAAGAAGCACCGGCUAACUACGUG